rnacentral:rRNA from 1 species
GACGAACGCUGGCGGCGUGCUUAACACAUGCAAGUCGAACGGGAAGGCCCUGCUUUUGUGGGGUGCUCGAGUGGCGAACGGGUGAGUAACACGUGAGUAACCUGCCCUUGACUUUGGGAUAACUUCAGGAAACUGGGGCUAAUACCGGAUAGGAGCUCCUGCUGCAUGGUGGGGGUUGGAAAGUUUCGGCGGUGGGGGAUGGACUCGCGGCUUAUCAGCUUGUUGGUGGGGUAGUGGCUUACCAAGGCUUUGGCGGGUAGCCGGCGUGAGAGGGUGACCGGCCACAUUGGGACUGAGAUAGGGCCCAGACUCCUACGGGAGGCAGCAGUGGGGAAUAUUGCACAAUGGGAGGAAGCCUGAUGCAGCAACGCCGCGUGCGGGAUGACGGCCUUCGGGUUGUAAACCGCUUUCGCCUGUGACGAAGCGUGAGUGACGGUAAUGGGUAAAGAAGCACCGGCUAACUACGUG